ensembl:lncRNA
UGUGUUAUGUGUGUUGAUAUCAAAGGCAGACUGAUGUUUUUUUCCUCUGUGUGUGGUUUUAGAUUUCAGAUACACUGAAGCGGUUUGCAGUAAAAGUAACUACAGCCAGCGUGAAGGAACGGAGAGAGAUCCUCAGUGAGCUGGGAAAAUGCAUUUCUGGGAAAGAUCUUCCAGAGGGUGCAGUGAAAGGCCUUUGCAAACUCUUCUGCCUUACUCUGCAUCGAUACCGCGAUGCAGCAUCCCGCAGAGCCCUGCAGCUGGCGCUUCAGCAGCUCGCAGAAUCCCAGCCAGAUGCAACAGCAAAAAAUCUUCUGCAGUCACUUCAGUCUUCAGGGAUCGGUGGCAAGGCUGGAGUUCCCAGUAAGAGCAGUGGAUCUGCAGCUCUGCUGGCACUCUCUUGGACAUGCCUGCUUGUACGCACAGUCUUUCCAACACCUGACAAGAGACAGGGAGAAACAUGGAAAAAACUGGUGGAGGUUCAGUGUUUGCUCCUUUUGGAAGUCCUGGGAGGUUCUCACAGGCAGGCGGUGGAUGGGGCUGUGAAGAAGUUGAACAGGCUGUGGAAGGAGAACCAAGAUCUGGUGGAUCAGUACCUAUCUGUCAUUCUUGGUCUUGAAC